rnacentral:rRNA from 18 species
AGAGUAGGGCGGGACACGUGAAAUCCUGUCUGAACAUGGGGGGACCACCCUCCAAGCCUAAAUACUCGUAUGUGACCGAUAGUGAACAAGUACCGUGAGGGAAAGGUGAAAAGCACCCCGAUGAGGGGAGUGAAACAGUACCUGAAACCGAAUGCUUACAAGCAGUGGGAGCCCCCUUGUGGGGUGACCGCGUACCUCUUGCAUAAUGGGUCAGUGACUUAAUUUAUCAUGCGAGCUUAAGCCGUUAGGUGUAGGCGCAGCGAAAGCGAGUCUGAAUAGGGCGCCCUAGUUCGUUGGAUUAGACCCGAAACCGAGUGAUCUAGCCAUGGC